rnacentral:lncRNA from 1 species
AUGGACAAGCGGAAGAUGACGGUUGCCAGACUGACCCAUUUCUUAGUUUGCAAUCGCUUCCUGAAAAUGUGUUCGGAGCAGUCAUUCUCCAUUGUGGUGGAUUUUGCCUCUCGUGGAAUAUUGGAACCCGUCCGCAGCCUUUGUCCCAACGCUGGGGGAUGGCUCUAUGGGCAUCUAGUAAGUAGAGGUCAAGGAUACUGCUCAGCAUCCUACAACGUGCAAAGGACAGCCCAUGCUGAAGAAUCAUCUGACCCCAAAUGGUGA